rnacentral:rRNA from 1 species
AUUGAACGCUGGCGGCAGGCCUAACACAUGCAAGUCGAACGGUAACAGGAAGAAGCUUGCUUCUUUGCUGACGAGUGGCGGACGGGUGAGUAAUGUCUGGGAAACUGCCUGAUGGAGGGGGAUAACUACUGGAAACGGUGGCUAAAACCGCAUAACUUCUCAAGACCAAAGAGGGGGACCUUCGGGCCUCUUGCCAUCGGCUUUUCCCAGAUGGGAUUAGCUAGUAGGUGGGGUAACGGCUCACCUAGGCGACGAUCCCUAGCUGGUCUGAGAGGAUGACCAGCCACACUGGAACUGAGACACGGUCCAGACUCCUACGGGAGGCAGCAGUGGGGAAUAUUGCACAAUGGGCGCAAGCCUGAUGCAGCCAUGCCGCGUGUAUGAAGAAGGCCUUCGGGUUGUAAAGUACUUUCAGCGGGGAGGAAGGGAGUAAAGUUAAUACCUUUGCUCAUUGACGUUACCCGCAGAAGAAGCACCGGCUAACUCCGUG